rnacentral:tmRNA from 1 species
GGGGCUAUCUGGUUUUGACAGCAGGUAGAAUGGUUGUGUAAGCACGCCGAGCAAUGAGGCAAUGCUCGUUAAUCUCGCUUCGAAAUAUAACUGGCAACACUUCUUAUGCUCUCGCUGCCUAAUCGAAGUAUAGUAGAUUGGCCUAUUCGAGCGCAUGGCGCUUGAACGAGACGUCACUCCAAGCCGAGUCUGUGGGCUGAAUGGAUUUAGUGGCGCAGAAAUUCACAGAAUAGGUGUCGCAGGCUGCGAUGCGAUGCCGAAACUUUAGCAGAUAAGCCGGUGGUUGGUGGCUUGGGUCUUGCCGCCGGACGAAAACCAAGGCCAAGAUAAGCGUGUAGAAAACACAAGUAUUCCUUGUUUGGACACGGGUUCGACUCCCGUUAGCUCCACA